UAAUACGGAGGGGGCAAGCGUUAUUCGGAAUCAUUGGGCGUAAAGGGCGCGUAGGCGGCUUGGCAAGUCAAAGGUGAAAUCCCUCGGCCUAACCGAGGAACUGCCUUUGAAACUGCUUGGCUUGAGGCCGGGAGAGGGUAGCGGAAUUCCCAGUGUAGCGGUGAAAUGCGUAGAUAUUGGGAGGAACACCAGUGGCGAAGGCGGCUACCUGGACCGGUUCUGACGCUGAGGCGCGAAAGCGUGGGGAGCAAACAGGAUUAGAUACCCUGGUAGUCCACGCCGUAAACGAUGGGUACUCGGUGUCGCGGGUAUCGACCCCUGCGGUGCCUUAGCUAACGCGUUAAGUACCCCGCCUGGGGAGUACGGUCGCAAGGCUG
rnacentral:rRNA from 1 species